UCGUUUGAAAAAUGAAAUUUGUUCUGAUUUUCUGUACCUUCUCGUCUAUGGGUUUUUCAUUCACUCGACGUCAGUUAG